rnacentral:rRNA from 1 species
GUGUAACCAUGGCCAUGCUGUCUCCACCCGAGACUCAGUGAAAUCGAAUUCGCCGUGAAGAUGCGGUGUACCCGCGGCUAGACGGAAAGACCCCGUGAACCUUUACUAUAGCUUGGCACUGAACAUUGACCCUACAUGUGUAGGAUAGGUGGGAGACUUUGAAGUUGGGACGCCAGUCCUGAUGGAGUCGUCCUUGAAAUACCACCCUUGUAUGUUUGAUGUUCUAACGCAGGGCCCUGAAUCGGGCUCGCGGACAGUGCCUGGUGGGUAGUUUGACUGGGGCGGUCUCCUCCCAAAGAGUAACGG